AUAAUUUUAAAUAACAUCACUCGUAUAUACUCGGUAAUAUGGUCCGAGCGUUUCUACCUAGUUCCCAAUGAAAGAACUGGACUACGGGUUAAAGUAUUCGGUCG
rnacentral:ncRNA from 17 species